AAAAAAGUCGUCUUGUAUCCGUAAUUAAGACAUACACAUAAGAAGGUGAGAUUUGUUAGAUUGUUAUUUCAUAACGAUGAUCAUGUACAGUUUUCAUAAAUAAAAAAAAAGCGAUUUCAAAAACCAUAUAAUUUUAAGUUGAAGUUCAAAAUUUCAUUGUUAAAAAUCAAAAUUAUCAACCCCGCCUUUUAAUCUACAUCAUUAUUUAAUUAAUAUAUGAUUCGUAUCCUGGUUUAUAUCUUCCAGAUUACAAGAUGAAAACUGUGUUUAUUGCCAUCUGUAUUUUCUGUAUGACAUUGGUAACAUUAGUGUAUGGAUCAACGAUUCCAACCCCCACCGAAUUCACUGGCAAUAGUGGUAAAUCAAUAUAUAUCUAGCUAGUGCCGAAAUAUUUUGGGGAUUUUAUUGUUAUAUUUUUAGCUCCUUUUUUUCUUGGUGCGUUAUUUUAUUUUAUAAUAGCGGUAAAUUAAUGUAUAUUAAAUUUAUCUUAGGGGAGUUAACCUUUUAGGUUUUUUUCUUUGUCAGACUUUGUUUCAAAUUUGAAAUAUGUAUGCUUUCCUCUAAGUAAGAGUGUAAAAACUAAUCGUAACAACAUUUCCGCCUAUAGAGUAAUUAUGAAGAAAAUUGGAGAAAGCCAACUGAAUUUUAUUAGAAAAUCCAAGGAAAUAAAAGUUAACAUGUUAAUUUGAAUUUAAAAUAAUUGACAACCUCCGGCAAAGCCCCAUGAGAUGAGACGUGUUAUAAUCAGUAUAGAUAAGUUUGUAUGUCAUCAACCCAGUAAAUACAAAAAAAGGUUUUUGCUAAAAGAGAGACAAAAGAUACCAACGGGAGAUUCAAACUCAUAAGCCAAAACAAAAACCUGACAACGCCAUGGCUAAAAAAAAAAAGAAAGGACUAACAGUCAAACAACAGUGCCACAAUAUUGCUAAAUUUAAUAGACGUGUGCCAAGUAAUUCGAGUAGCUCACAUGACCCUUUAUGCGUGGUGAGCUAAAAAGGGGACACACUAUUCCUUGUCUUGCUUAUUUUGUUUUUCAACAUAAAAACUGCCAAAAAAAACACUAUAAAAAUAUAGGAUUAAGCCCGACAAUUUAAAAAGAGAGGCGAAAGAUAGCAGUGGGACAUUGAAACACAUAUUCAACAACACGGGAAUCGAAAAUUGACAACAAAGUGAAAUAUUAAUAAGGAGAUUUACAAAUUACGAUCAAAAUAAAAUUUAAGGCCAUAUUACUGUGUAAAACUUGCAAAAUGAGCUAUAAGAAUAAUGAUAUAAAAUAACAACCUGUAACCUCAAAAUAUUUCAUACAUUUAAGCAAUACCCUAAAAACUCAUAAUGUCAUUACCAAAACUGGAAACAUUUAGAAACAGUAUUAUUUCGAAGUCCAUGGAAAUGAAAUUGAUGACUUUAAACUAUAACUAUCAAUGAAUACAAUGCUGAGUUUUACUUAGAGACUCGAAAACACAACCAGUAGAGUAACUUGCUUUGUAAUUUUUACAAUAAAAUUAUAAUAAUUGAAUACAAUUUUUAAUAGACCUUGUAUGCCAUUUUUUUUAGUACAAGACAAUUCUAGUGGUCAGCAUUUCCAUGUUGACAUGAACUGUUAUUGAUUUGGGCAUUAUUAUAAAUUAACUUAUAACACACCUUUGCAUUAUCGAACAAUUAAUGAUUUUCCAUCCAAGGAAUAGAUAACCGAAUCUGUAUUUGGAAUACCUUGCGGAUUUCAAGGUCCUAACUGCCUUCAAAGUCGUUCUUUAUUAAGUCUUUGUAACUUUUUUUUAUUCGAGUGACACUGUUUAGUCUGAUGCAGACGAAACGAGAGUUAAAAUCCGAGUAUGCAUCUAUGAAGAAUUUAUUGGUCUCGCUGUGUAGAAAAAAACAUUAUUUUCUUGUGGUUUUCUUUACAGACUGCUUGCUCCAUACCAUACCAGGGGAUUGUUUGGGUUUCUUUCCACGAUAUUCGUACCGAUCGGGAAUGUGUAAAAUGUUCAUUUAUGGCGGUUGUGGUGGGAAUGCCAACAAUUUCUUAGACAUUGAGGAGUGCCAAAAAGCAUGUAUGCCAGCCUUAUAACGAUUCAAAUUAGCAUGGAAAAUCGAGCACGGUGAUAUAGGAAUAUUGAAGUAACAAAUAAAAUAUGAAUACCCCGAUUUUCUUUUAAUUAAGGAUACUUUUAAUUGUUUUAGUCU
rnacentral:lncRNA from 1 species